rnacentral:rRNA from 1 species
UAGGGAAUAUUGGACAAUGGGUGAGAGCCUGAUCCAGCCAUGCCGCGUGCAGGAAGAAGGCGUUAUGCGUUGUAAACUGCUUUUUGCCAGGGGAUAAAAAGACCGUGCGCGGUUAAUUGAAGGUACCUGGUGAAUAAGCCACGGCUAACUACGUGCCAGCAGCCGCGGUAAUACGUAGGUGGCAAGCGUUGUCCGGAUUUAUUGGGUUUAAAGGGUGCGUAGGUGGCCCUGUAAGUCAGUGGUGAAAUAUCUCAGCUUAACUGAGAGGGUGCCAUUGAUACUGCAGGGCUUGAGUACAGAUGAGGUAGGCGGAAUUGACGGUGUAGCGGUGAAAUGCAUAGAUAUCAAGAGGAACACCUGAGGCGAAGGCGGGUUGCUGGGCUGAUACUGACGCUGAGGCGCGAAAGCUAGGGUAGCAAACGGGAUUAGAUACCCUCGUAGUCCCUGAGCGGGCUGGCAAGGCGCAU